AUGGAGCAAGGUCGUGGCACUGCCGUCGCUGCGCACGGAGAUGUGGUCGAGGGCGCGGAGACCGCCGCAUAUGCCGUCCAAGAAGUGGCCGCCGUCGGCGGUGCGGGAGAUGCUGCACCUGCAUUCGCUGGAUCGGUCCCUGCGGCGGCGGAUCUGGUGGCGCAGGGGGUGGUGGGCUCGCACUCCGUCGUGGAAGACCUGGUGGUGACGGCGUCUGGCGGUGCACUGGAUGUAGGUGCGGAGGCGAGCGACAAGCAGGUGGUGGAUGUGAAUGAGGAAGCUGCUGGCAACAAGAGGAAGCUGGACAUCGCUGGGUUCGACGACCCGUCUGAUUCUGACGACGACUUGGGGUACAACUCUGGAGAUGAGGUGGAAGAGUGGAACCACAGGUCCUUCAUUGAGCAUGAAGCCAUGAAGAUCAGGGAGAAGGGGAAGGCGGCGUACUUCAAGUGGGGCAAGUUCAGGAUGGAUGAGCUGAAUGGAGAAAUAGUAUGCGUGGUGGAGAAAUGGUGCAAGCUUGUUGCAGAUCUAUCGAGCGGUCAACGCGCUAGAGUGGCUGAUACAUCAUUGCGCAGCAUGCUACAUAUACCAUCUAUUAAGAUGCGUACCCUGCUGAUUAGGUAUAUGGUAGAGAAUUUUCAGGCCAGCACGGCAGAUUCAUUAUACAAGAGCAGGUUGGGGAGGUGA
rnacentral:rRNA from 1 species